rnacentral:tRNA from 1 species
GGGGAUAUGGCUCAGUGGUAGAGCUCUUGCCUUACAUGCACAAGGCCCUGGAUUCAAUCCCCAACACCACCA